rnacentral:rRNA from 1 species
AUGCCCACCCCGCCUCAUAUUGUGCCGGAAUGGUAUUUCCUACCGAUCCAUGCCAUUCUUCGCAGUAUACCUGACAAAGCGGGAGGUGUAGCCGCAAUAGCACCAGUUUUUAUAUCUCUCUUGGCUUUACCUUUUUUUAAAGAAAUGUAUGUGCGUAGUUCAAGUUUUCGACCGAUUCACCAAGGAAUAUUUUGGUUGCUUUUGGCGGAUUGCUUACUACUAGGUUGGAUCGGAUGUCAACCUGUGGAGGCACCAUUUGUUACUAUUGGACAAAUUCCUUCUGUCUUUUUCUUCUUGUUCUUUGCCAUAACGCCCAUUCCGGGACGAGUUGGAAGAGGAAUUCCAAAAUAUUACACGGAUGAGACUCAUCGCACCGGAUCCUUAGACGGAUGA